ACGGGACGGGACGGGGCAGGACGGGACGUCCCGUUCCGACCGCUCCCCCAUCCCCAUCCCCAUCCCGCUGGGCUUUCCUGGCGGGGGGACUUGUGUUUCCUCUUGAGCUGAGGCGGGCCAGCCGCGGGAGAUGGGAAAGUAGAAUGCCCUCCAGCUGGAAUUUUCCAAAGCCAAUGGAAGAGAAGACAAAUUAGUAACCCUGGGAAGACAGAACCCUGCAGCAACAUGACAUGUUUUGGCAUUCCCUUGUUUUCCUUUAUUUGGGCGCAGUUGUUACUACUUGCUGGAACCUGAAAUGCUUUGUCAGCUCCUUAGUUUGUUUUGGGGUUUUUUUUUGUUUGUUUUUUUAACCUUUAUGUGUUAUUAUAAUGGAACCAUAAGGUGAAGCUGUGUGAGAAGAGGACAUAAAAAG